rnacentral:pre_miRNA from 1 species
CUAGUACUCUCUCCGUUCAAAAAUACUUGUCAUCAAAAUGAAUAAAAAUGGAUAUAUCUAAAACUAAAAUACAUCUAGAUACAUCUCCUUUUAUCCAUUUUGAUGACAAGUAUUUUCAGACGGAGGGAGUACAUC